GAUGCCCUCUUCUGAUCUCUGUGGACAUUGUACAAUACAGACCAUGAGAACUUACUUGUUCAAGAGAGCUCAGUGAAGGAAUAUGAAAAAUAAAAACCCUAGAACAGAGAUGGCCCAUUCCAGCUUAUAGCUUCUUGAUAUUCACGUGUGUGAAUUCCAGCUUGUAGCCAGCAGACAUCUACACACAAUGGUGACCACAGUUCCACUGUGUCAGGUUCAUGGAAGGCAACAACAGUUCCAGGCUCACAGGAGGAAGUGGUGAUGAGACAUCUUACUGGAGUCAAGUUUUAAGUCUUCCUACAGCCUGUCAUGCCCGUGCCUCUCCACAUCAAGAUCUGGUGUUCCACCAUUUCACUAGUACCAGUGGCCACACCACUAGCUUGACUACCCAGUUACUUUCUUUUGUACUUGCCAAG